CUCAGGACGAACGCUGGCGGCAUGCCUAAUACAUGCAAGUCGAGCGAACAGAUGAAGUGCUUGCACUUCUGACGUUAGCGGCGAACGGGUGAGUAACACGUAAGGAAUCUACCUAUAAGCGGGGGAUAACAUUCGGAAACGGGUGCUAAUACCGCAUAAUAUCUUCUUCCGCAUGGAAGAAGAUUGAAAGACGGCUCUGCUGUCACUUAUAGAUGACCUUGCGGUGCAUUAGUUAGUUGGUGGGGUAACGGCCUACCAAGACGAUGAUGCAUAGCCGACCUGAGAGGGUGAUCGGCCACAUUGGGACUGAGACACGGCCCAAACUCCUACGGGAGGCAGCAGUAGGGAAUCUUCCGCAAUGGGCGAAAGCCUGACGGAGCAAUGCCGCGUGAGUGAAGAAGGCCUUCGGGUCGUAAAACUCUGUUAUAAGAGAAGAACAAAUUGUAGAGUAACUGCUACAGUCUUGACGGUAUCUUAUCAGAAAGCCACGGCUAACUACGUGCCAGCAGCCGCGGUAAUACGUAGGUGGCAAGCGUUGUCCGGAUUUAUUGGGCGUAAAGGGAGCGCAGGUGGUUUCUUAAGUCUGAUGUGAAAGCCCACGGCUUAACCGUGGAGGGUCAUUGGAAACUGGGAAACUUGAGUACAGAAGAGGAAUGUGGAACUCCAUGUGUAGCGGUGGAAUGCGUAGAUAUAUGGAAGAACACCAGUGGCGAAGGCGACAUUCUGGUCUGUUACUGACA
rnacentral:rRNA from 1 species